UUAUCAUUCAUAUUAGGAUAAUAUUUCACAAAUGUGGUCAGUAUUGUCUUCCUCAACAUUAGGAGGUUAGGUAGGUGGAAUAAGUUCUCGUGUUCUGUAGCACUAUAGGGUAACCACAGUAAACAACAGUUUAUGGCUUUUUUUUUCAGAUAGCUGAGAGAGAGGAUUUUGCAUGUUACCAACACAAAGAUAUGAUAAAGGUUUGAGGUUAUGGACAUGCUAAUUACCCUGAUUUGAUCAUUAUACAUUGUAUACAUCUACUGAAAUAUCCCACUGUACCCCAUAAAUAUGUACAAUUAUGUGUCAAGUAAAAUAUAUGAAUAUAUAUAGUAAAUAAAUGAAGUAAUUUGCCAUUACUUAGCAUUUUAUUAAAUGUAUGUUUCCAAAAUUGUAUUUGUUCUUAAGACCUUUUGAGUGAUCACAGUUUCUGCUAUUCUCCAUAAGGCCUCAGUUUAACAGGGUGAUGAAAUCUUGAAUAAAACAAAGGAAUGUGUUUGUAUUUGCAGUGCUUCCCUUGUAGGUGAAAUGGCCACCAGACCGAGGCUUUCUGGAAUGCAUUCAUUCUCUGCAGUUGAAAGGGAUGAUCCUGGAUCUGAAAGAAAGAGCCACAGUGACUCCAAGAGUGGAGCCAGGGCAUGCUGGACACUGCACAGCUAUGGCCAUGUGUGUCACCACCGAGGGAGAUGUGAGAGAAACGCAGAGGGAUUGCUUGUGACUGUGCCUUCUCGAUGUACGAUGGACCGUUCUGCUCAAAUACUGACUGAAGCUGACAACAAAUUUUCAGCCGAUAAGUAG
rnacentral:lncRNA from 1 species